CCGCCCCCACGACCCAGCGCCGCGAGUCCGCGACGCGGCGACGCCCCCCGCCCCGCGCUCGCGCCCCCAGCGGAGCGGCCCCCUUCACCCAUCCACAUCUCUUCCCUCCUCUCAAUCUCCUCCCUGCGAGCGCCGCCAGGGGCUGAUUUGCCCCUCUUCUCCCUCCGAGCGCCGCCAGGGGCCGUCCGCUCCCCCAGCCCCCUCCUCGGCUCCGAGCGAAAGGCGUUCGCCGGAACAGAGCGCGGAGAUGAGCGGGAGCGCGUUCAACGCGUUCAAGUCGCGGGUACCGGUGGCGUGGAGCCCGCGGCUGUACAUCACGCUGGUGCGGGGGCUCCCGGGGACGCGGCGCCUCCACCGCCGCACGCUCGAGGCCAUGCGCCUCCGCCGCUGUCACCGCACCGUCGAGCACCGUACCACGCCGUCGCUCCUCGGAAUGCUCACCCAGGUCAAGCGUCUCGUCGUCGUCGAGACCGAGGAGAUGUAUAACUCGCGGAGGCAGGCAGAGGAGGAGCGACGCGCGCCCAGGCCGCCGCUUGUCAUCUCCCACCACGAGCCAGCGCCAACUGCGAACCCGGGAGCAGCCACGGAGGAGGUUUCCGCUGCCACUUCGCCGUAGCCUCUGAAAAAGGAGAAGGGAGACCAAUCUUGACCUUAAUGUUAUACCACAUGACCACAAUGUGCCCAGGCUGAAGCAGGGCUUGAGAAGCCAUUCCCGACAGUUCGGCGACAUAAUAAUUAAUUUGCCUUUUGACUCCAGAAGAUAUCAUUGGAUCCUCAACAAGCUCCGGCAACCCAUACUCUAUGCAACAUUGUAGUAUGGUCCAAACUAUUUUUUUCCUUGGUCCUGUUUUUAGAUUUGUUUAUGGACAGGUGUUUCACUGCCUGUGGUCAAUCUUGCUCAGUGUCAUUUCAAUAACAAAAAUUUCUAAAAAUGCUCUUUAAGAUGUGUCAUAUUGGAUUUUUCCCUAAUUUUGCGUAAGGAUGUAUCUCAGAUUUCAAAUUUAUUGUAUUAUGAUUGUUCCAACAUUAGCAGAAGGGUUGCUGUGGCUUCGGUUGACUGCCAGAAUUGCUUCAGUUUUGAAA